AUUGAACGCUGGCGGCAGGCCUAACACAUGCAAGUCGAGCGGUAGAGAGGAGCUUGCUUCUCUUGAGAGCGGCGGACGGGUGAGUAAUGCCUAGGAAUCUGCCUGGUAGUGGGGGAUAACGUUCGGAAACGGACGCUAAUACCGCAUACGUCCUACGGGAGAAAGUGGGGGAUCUUCGGACCUCACACUAUCAGAUGAGCCUAGGUCGGAUUAGCUAGUUGGUGAGGUAAAGGCUCACCAAGGCGACGAUCCGUAACUGGUCUGAGAGGAUGAUCAGUCACACUGGAACUGAGAAACGGUCCAGACUCCUACGGGAGGCAGCAGUGGGGAAUAUUGGACAAUGGGCGCAAGCCUGAUCCAGCCAUGCCGCGUGUGUGAAGAAGGUCUUCGGAUUGUAAAGCACUUUAAGUUGGGAGGAAGGUCAGUAGCUUAAUACGUUGCUGAUUUGACGUUACCGACAGAAUAAGCACCGGCUAACUCUGUGCCAGCCGCCGCGGUAAAAC
rnacentral:rRNA from 1 species